rnacentral:rRNA from 1 species
UUGGUUAAGUCCCGCAACGAGCGCAACCCUUAUUGCUAGUUACCAUCAUUCAGUUGGGGACGUCUAGCGAGACUGCCAGUGAUAAACUGGAGGAAGGUGGGGGAUGACGUCAAAUCAUCAUGCCCCUUAUGACCUGGGCUACAAACGUGAUACAAUGGCUGAAACAAAGGGCAGCGAAGCAGUGAUGUGGAGCGAAACCCAAAAAAGCAGUCUCAGUUCGGAUUGAAGUCUGCAACUCGACUUCAUGAAGUCGGAAUCGCUAGUAAUCGCGGAUCAGAACGCCGCGGUGAAUACGUUCUCGGGGUUU